ensembl:lncRNA
CCAAGGUCCUGUGAACAGGUGAGGCGAGGAGGCCACUCAAGCUGGUGCAAGUGCAGGUCAGUCCUGAGAGUGGGUGUCUCGUUGUCUCACUCUAGUGCCAACCCUGGCUGUGAGGACCCUGGGGUGUCACAUAUGCUCUCGAACAAGACAAGCUGCUUUCAGCUAAACUACACAUGGCAGCCAUCACUGGUUUCCAUUCAGCAGAUAUUUACUGAGCACGCCUGUGUCUCAGCACUGCCAGGGACUUCCCUUCCCGUCCUGGUCACCAUCUGCUCCUUCACUGAGCCCCGAGGUGGCUUCACAGGCAGCAUGACCUCACCCAGCACCUCUUCUUCUGACAGAUUCUGAGCCCCCAAGGGCCCAGACCACACCACCACUCUGCAGGAAAACAAAGGCAAGAAGAGUGUGAGCUGAGAGGAUUCAAGAGGAGAGUGAGGAUGGGAGGGGGACCGGAGGCGAGCAGAGGAGGAGCCACUGGUCUAACCUCGUCAAGAGGCAGUCAUGGACUCCUUGUGCCGCAGCUGGUUCUCCUGCCAGAACCUCAUGCUGUAAAUCAGCCUCCUUCUCUGUUCCCAGGCUGUCAAAGACCCCAGCUCGUCCUGCAUGCUGCAAAGGACCCUGGGGGUAUUACCGAACAUGAAGAGGAGAUAGUCCAGGUGCUUGUCCUUGACGGUGUCUGUCUCCAUGGAGGAUAGUGGAUUCUGGAGCCAGGAAGCCAGAGAGAGUGAAGACCUUUCCUCCCCCAGCAGAUCCCCGUACUUCCCUGGUCAGCACCAAUGCAGCUGCAAGAAAGACCGAAACCGAGACUUUGGCUCUCUAGAUUCCACAGCAGAGGAAGCGAGGACGGAGAGGGAAGUGGGGCUGCGUGUGGAUGAGCCACCUCUCAGAUUGGCCACGUGGCCGUUACUGGCUGCUUUUACCGGUGUUACAUCCUUUGCUCUGGUCUACCCACCAUAGUAAAAUAAUCCACUGGAGUAAUAGUGGAUUUGAAAAUUUCUCCUUGAAUUUCCAACAGUGUUUUGGUUUUGAUUUUGUUUUGUUUUGCUUUAUAGCAUUUAUGCAUUUCCAAACCAUGUUAACAUAUUAAUCUAAAAUAUCUCUCUUUGGCCUGCUUAAUUUUUUUUUUAAAGAUUUUAUUUUUUCCUUUUUCUCCCCAAAGCACCCCCGGUACAUAGUUGUAUAUUCUUCGUUGUGGGUCCUUCUAGUUGUGGCAUGUGGGACGCUGCCUCAGUGUGGUUUGAUGAGCAGUGCCGUGUCCGCGCCCAGGAUUCAAACCAACGAAACACUGGGCCGCCUGCAGCAGAGCGCAUGAACUUAACCACUCGGCCCCGGGGCCAGCACCCUGCUUAAUGUUUUUUAUCUUAAAUUUUAUUUGGUCUGUAAUGACUCUUGCCACACCUGCAGUCAUUUUCUUGACAUUUUCUUCAUCUACUGUUUCCCAUCUCUUUCUUUUUAAUCUUUCCGUGUCGUUAGGUAAUGGACAUAGCGUGCCGCUGGCUUUACUUCAUCUGAGUCUUGGCUUUUAACAGGGGAUAUAACGCAUUCCAAGAGCCCAGCCCCCAGCCCCAGAUUCAGAUUCAUUCAUUGUGAGACAUCAGCCUGGAGUGUGGGACCCCAGGAGCCACAGAGAACCUGGCAGUGACCUGGCUGAGCAAGGGCCUCCCCAGGGAGUUGGAGCCGAGAGAGACACUGGGGCCAGCCCCCGACUCCAGGAAUCUAAGCCUGAGCCUGCCCCUGGGCCAGUUGAAUGGCCACCUCACCUGUGUGGUCAGCAACCCUGUGGACAAGAAGAAUGCAACUUACACCUGGAGAACAUCUGUCCAUCGGCGGAAAUUGGACCAACGUGUGGAGACUGCUGCAUCACCCAGGACAUAAAUCUGGGACUGGCAUGUGGGCACCCCCUUUCCCAGCACUGAGGAGCCCAGAAGACUGAAUUAGUCAUCAGAAUCCAAGCAGGGGAGGAGGAGGACUUGAGGAUUAAGGACUGAGGAUUCCCUAGACCUGGAAAGCUCAUGUCGCCCAGACUCAGGCCCUCCCUGGAUGGGCUGGAAAAGCUUAGCACAUUCAGGCUGGAAGAUGGCCAUUUUUUGCUGCAUGACAGAUGUGCCAUUUCUGAGAUGAUUAACACCUCUGAGAUUAUGCAGCAGGAACAAGGGAUGGAAAAAAGGAGGAUGAGUCCAGCGGCCUCCUCCCACCCACAUCCCCCUAGGCUCUGCUUGCUCACGUGGGGCUCCCGUCUGAACAGUCUCCUCCAUGUCAUUUCCUCACUCGCUCAGCCACCCAGCAUUCAACCCUCGCACUAGGACUGAAGGCCUACCAUGUGCUGGGGGGGCGUCAGUGAGCCGUAAGCUGAGCCCCGCCCUCAAGGAGCUCAGAGUGCGGUAGGGCAUCACCACAUACCAGCUGUGUGACCCUGGACAAGUCGCUUGAUUUUUGGAGCCUUUUUAGCAAACGGCUUUGGAGAGGCAUCCGUCCCACGGUUCUGAUGGUGGGCCUGGGCGCUGGAGUGUGGAUCUGGAUGAGGAAGAAGACGGAGACUGGGAGAGGUGGGUCUGCUCUCCUGCCCGAGGGGCCCAGCUCAGCAGCUGCUCCCCAGGCCCUUCCCACAGAAGAAUCUGCUGACCUGCACACUGGUGGGGCUGAUAGCCACGACUCCCCCUACAUGAAGAUCAGACUCCUGGGACACCCUGAGGAAGACAUGGAGAAGGGCAGCUGCCAUUCAUACAGCCCGAGUGUGCUCCAGUAGUCCACACUAUCUUUGAGAAGAUCCAGAAAAGCCCAGAACCCCAGGGUGACACCGAGGCCGUGAAGACCCUGGGGCAGUGAGGGGGCCUUCGCAAGAUCUCCCCCACCCCACCAUUCACCCCAGCAUCCUAAGAUCUCCCUCCUUCAGGUGGACCUGGGACUAGACCCCAAGUCUUUCUGACCCAUCCCACUGAGACAGCAGAGCAGCAGGAGCUGCUCCCCUGGGUUCCCCACCAAAGCUUUCUCCCUUCACAGACUGUGGGCAGUGAUGGUGCUACUCGAAUAUCCAAGUGUGAGAGGUAAGCCUUUCAGCAGUCAGCCAGAUUUCUGACCUGUGACCAUCUUAACCCCAUUAGGGAACACCCAUGGUUAGGCAGGACCUGCAUACGGAUGGUCAGGGGAUAGAGAUGCUUUCCUGGAACAGGGAGAGUCCUGGUGCCUCUGAGAAUGAUGAGUCUUGGGUGGAGGAACUUCAGGAUGUCAUAGCCCAGCCCAGUACCCAAGAAUAGAGAAAGGGAUGGCCUUUGACUAUGGAAAAGCCAGAGGCUGGCAGAUACAAGAUUCCGGGUCAGUUGUGCCUGGGAGGGGUGGAAAGGGAGGGAAAUGCUUUUUGAGCUCCAGUACCUACCAGGCUUAAUCUAAGCACAGUAAAUGAACUAUCUCAGGAUUUUGCAAAUUCAAGUAAUUCACAGACCCUUUUAUUUUUAUUACAUGAUAUAUGCAUACAGUAUAAAACUCAAAAGGCAGCUCUUGUUGACAUGAUAAUGUUUCAGCAUCUUAUUGCUAUUGUAAAUGGGGUCUUGUUCCCAUUAGAUCUUCCAACUAGUUGAUUAAAAUAAUGCACACAUAACAUAUAUAAAUUUUCAUGUUACUAAGUUUCUUUUCUGUUUGUAACAGUUUUUCAUUUGAUCUCUUUGAAUAUCUGAGUAAAUAACCAUAUUAUCAACAAAUAAUUAUAAUUUUUGCUUCCUUCUUUCCAAUUUUUAUGCCACAUUCCUUUCUCUUGUCUAAUUGCAUUGGCUAAUAGCUCCAAAGCCAUGCUAAAUAAUACUGAUAAAGAUGUCCUUGUAUUGUUCCUAACUUUAAUAUAAAUGCUUCUAGUGUUUCUCCAUUAAGCAUGAUGUUUUUAUUAGGUUAAGGCAUAUCUGUUUUAUCAUGUUAGGAAAGCAUGUAUUUAUUCCUAUUUUAUCAAGACUUAUACUGAGAAUAAAAUGUUAAAUUUUAUCAUUUCUCAUUUCACCUGUGCAAAUUUCACAUG